GUCAAAUAAAAUAGUGAAGAUAUAAAAAAAGUGAGUAUAUAUAUACACAGAUGAAACACUGCAGGAUACAUACAGCAUAUCAACUGAGGACAGCAGUAACAGCUAUACUUUAUUUUAACGAGGGGAAAAGUUCCCACAUUCAAGAGACAGGUACACUGUCAAAGUACAUUAUCUAUAGAAUAACCCCACCCUCUUACUUUUACAGUAGAGAGGUACACUGUCAAAGUACAUUAUCUAUAGAAUAACCCCACCCUCUUACUUUUACAGUAGAGAGGUACACUGUCAAAGUACAUUAUCUAUAGAAUACCCCCACCCUCUUACUUUUACAGUAGCAUUUUAAUUACAUAUGGUUCUGUAACUACCUCAUAACUCCAUCUGGGACAAAUUCCCCUGCCUUAGAACAUAUCCUGAAUAGAUUAUUAAC